rnacentral:rRNA from 1 species
AUUGAACGCUGGCGGCAUGCCUUACACAUGCAAGUCAAACGGCAGCGCGGGCUUCGGCCUGGCGGCGAGUGGCGAACGGGUGAGUAAUGCAUCGGAACGUGCCCAGUAGUGGGGGAUAGCCCAGCGAAAGCCGGAUUAAUACCGCAUACGACCUGAGGGUGAAAGCGGGGGACCGAAAGGCCUCGCGCUAUUGGAGCGGCCGAUGUCGGAUUAGCUAGUUGGUGGGGUAAAGGCUUACCAAGGCGACGAUCCGUAGCUGGUCUGAGAGGACGACCAGCCACACUGGGACUGAGACACGGCCCAGACUCCUACGGGAGGCAGCAGUGGGGAAUUUUGGACAAUGGGGGCAACCCUGAUCCAGCCAUGCCGCGUGCGGGAAGAAGGCCUUCGGGUUGUAAACCGCUUUUGUUCGGGAAGAAAUCCUCUGGGCUAAUACCCCGGGGGGAUGACGGUACCGGAAGAAUAAGCACCGGCUAACUACGUG